rnacentral:rRNA from 1 species
GACGAACGCUGGCGGCGUGCUUAACACAUGCAAGUCGAACGGAAAGGCCCUGCUUUUGUGGGGUGCUCGAGUGGCGAACGGGUGAGUAACACGUGAGUAACCUGCCCCUGACUUUGGGAUAACUUCAGGAAACUGGGGCUAAUACCGGAUAGGAGCUCCUGCUGCAUGGUGGGGGUUGGAAAGUUUCGGCGGUUGGGGAUGGACUCGCGGCUUAUCAGCUUGUUGGUGGGGUAGUGGCUUACCAAGGCUUUGACGGGUAGCCGGCCUGAGAGGGUGACCGGCCACAUUGGGACUGAGAUACGGCCCAGACUCCUACGGGAGGCAGAAGUGGGGAAUAUUGCACAAUGGGCGGAAGCCUGAUGCAGCAACGCCGCGUGCGGGAUGACGGCCUUCGGGUUGUAAACCGCUUUCGCAUGUGACGAAGCGUGAGUGACGGUAAUGGGUAAAGAAGCACCGGCUAACUACGUG